GCCAGUGUGGCAUAGUGGUUUGAGCACUGGACUACAACUCUGAAGACUGGGGUUCGAUUUCUCACUCAGCCA